GAUAGCAGGGGAUCGUAAGGCCUUGCACUUUUGGAGCGGCCGAUGUCUGAUUAGCUAGUUGGUGGGGUAAGGGCCUACCAAGGCGACGAUCAGUAGUUGGUCUGAGAGGACGACCAGCCACACUGGGACUGAGACACGGCCCAGACUCCUACGGGAGGCAGCAGUGGGGAAUUUUGGACAAUGGGCGCAAGCCUGAUCCAGCAAUGCCGCGUGAGUGAAGAAGGCCUUCGGGUUGUAAAGCUCUUUCAGUCGAGAAGAAAAGGCUACGGUAAAUAAUCGUAGUUCAUGACGGUACCGACAGAAGAAGCACCGGCUAACUACGUGCCAGCAGCCGCGGUAAUACGUAGGGUGCGAGCGUUAAUCGGAAUUACUGGGCGUAAAGGGUGCGCAGGCGGCUUUGUAAGUCAGAUGUGAAAUCCCCGGGCUUAACCUGGGAAUUGCGUUUGAAACUACAAGGCUAGA
rnacentral:rRNA from 1 species